AAACAUGUCUUUUUGGGAAUAAUUUAAAGUCUAAUUUUCCCACUGAUNAAAUUAUUAAAGGGCUGCAGUAUUUUGACUGUACAAAGGUAGCAUAAUCAUUAGUCUCUUAAUUGGUGACUUGUAUGAAGGAUUGGAUGAGAUAUAUACUGUCUCUAAUUAAUUUAUAAAAUUUAAUUUUUUAGUAAAAAAGCUAAAAUAAUUUUAAAAGACGAGAAGACCCUAUAGAGUUUAAUAAUUUAUUUAAUUAUUAUUAAUUUGUAAAUUUUAAAAUUAAAAUUAAAUGAAUUAUUUUAUUGGGGUGAUAGAAAAAUUAAAUUAACUUUUUUUUUAUAUUAAACAUUAAUUUAUGAUUAUAUGAUCCAUUAUUAUUGAUUAUAAGAAAAAAUUACCUUAGGGAUAACAGCGUAAUUUUUUUUUUUAGUUCAAAUAGGAAAAAAAGUUUGCGACCUCGAUGUUGGAUUAAGAUAAAAUUUAAAUGCAAAAGUUUAAA
rnacentral:rRNA from 1 species